CGACCGCCACGACAUCCCGUGCGACGUUAUCUGGAUGGAUAUCGAGCACACGGAGGGGAAGCGUUACUUCACCUGGGACGCCGCGCUUUUCCCCCCAACCGGCCAACCUGCAGCGCCACCUGGAGGAGAGGAAGAGGAAGUUGGUCGUGAUAACCGAUCCUCACAUCAAGAUCGACCCCGGUUGGUGUUUGUCUAAUGAGGCCAGAGAUGGGGGGCACUUCAUCAAGAACAGAGACGGGCAGAUCUAUGAGGGGUCUCGUUGGCCUGUAAGGGCGAUCAGGAGGAGAGAGCCGCAGAGCGAGCGAGACGCCGGGAGCUCUCAGUCUGCAAAGGGGACGAAGCUGUUUGGGGAGAAAGUCACCGCCG
ensembl:lncRNA